UGCANGUCGAGCGGAANCGACNACAUUGACCCUUCGGAUGAUUUGUUGGGCGUCGAGCGGCGGACGGGUGAGUAAUGCCUGGGAAAUUGCCCUGAUGUGGGGGAUAACCAUUGGAAACGAUGGCUAAUACCGCAUAAUGUCUACGGACCAAAGAGGGGGACCUUCGGGCCUCUCGCUUCNGGAUAUGCCCAGGUGGGAUUAGCUAGUUGGUGAGGUAAUGGCUCACCAAGGCGACGAUCCCUAGCUGGUCUGAGAGGAUGAUCAGCCACACUGGAACUGAGACACGGUCCAGACUCCUACGGGAGGCAGCAGUGGGGAAUAUUGCACAAUGGGCGCAAGCCUGAUGCAGCCAUGCCGCGUGUAUGAAGAAGGCCUUCGGGUUGUAAAGUACUUUCAGUCGUGAGGAAGGCGUUGAAGUUAA
rnacentral:rRNA from 1 species